ensembl:lncRNA
UUUAAUUCCUUAAGUAUUUAUUAUGCUUAUGUUAAAUAAUAAAUGAUUCAUUUCAAUUUUUGGGUGAGUCGUUCUGAGUCAAGAUGGCAAACGUUGAUGGAAAAAAUAACAAUGUUAAUAAUCAAAACCAAAUAAGUAUAAAAUAAAAUGGGAAUUCCAGAUUGAUGAAACGAAAACCUUAUGUGGACAAAUGGAGUUGAGAUUUGUGCAACAUGGAUGAACCUGGUGGGCGUUAUGCUCAAUGAAACAAGCCAGACAUAGAAACACAGAUACUGCCUGGGGUCACUUACAUGUGAACUCGAAAAACUAUAAAAGAAAGGUCAACUCAUAGAAACAGAGAAUAGAAAAGUGGUUGCCAGCGGCUGUGGCGUGGGGGAAAUAGAGAGAGGCAGGUAAAAGGAGACAAACUUUCACCUCUCAGAUGAGAAACGUCGGAGGUUCUAAUGUCUGGCGUGGUGACUACAGUCGAUAACACUGAAUUGCAUAAUUGAAAUCAGCUAGGAGACUGGCACUUCAGUGUCCUCACACACACACGCAAAGUCACUAGGUGAGGUGAAAACAGCAAUCAGAGUUGAGGACAGAGCAGGAUCAGGGUAUGAAUCCCUGGGAACUAGAUCAAAUUCCUGGGAGAACUUCAGACUUUCGAAGGCCAUGAGAUAGCUGGCUUCAAACCAAGAAUCCAGGAGACGCAAGGAACCCGGUGACCUCUGGCUUCCAGGGGGAAGACAUAGAAAACUAGCUAAGGUCUAGAAGGCCCAGGAGGGUAGAGGGAGGGAGACGUAGGCUAGAGGGUGGGGGAGGGGCUCUGGUCCAGCCUGCUCCCCUGCUGUCCCCUCCCCAGCCCUCAAGAGCCCUUUGUGACAAGGCCGCACUUCUGUCAUGGGGGCCUGGGGUAAUAAUCUCCAAGCCACUCCCAGAGCUCAGUCGCCUGAGGGCAGCACUGCGUUUCAGACAUGCAGAAUCCUCUCAUGUUUCUGAAAAGCCUCUUUGCUACCUGGCCGAGCUCCAGUUCCACUUCCUGGGUGAUUGGGACCAUCCUCCCCUUCCUGUGUGGACUGGGGCUCUUCCUCCUGUGCCUUCCCUCCCUGCAGAGGAAUCCAUCCUCACGACCACCUUGUGAACGCAGAAACAUAAGGAAGCGUCAAGUGGAGCCAAGAGGGAAGAGCAGCAGGAGCAGGAAGAAAAGGGGAGCUUUGAAAGCUCCCCAGGGAGGCUGUCUUCCAAGGGAUGCUCCCAUCGCUCAUCAUGUCAAGACUACCCUGGGGAGGCGAGCAACACAGCAUACGCCAGAGCCCAGCAGCCAUGCGGAAAGCCUGUGGCAGGUGCUACUCUCACCGUGACUCCAGCACAUUCCCUGAGUCCUCUGACCCACACCCCUAUACCUCUGGCCUCCACCCUGCCAGCAGAACCUCCAGCUGACUUGACCGGAAUCCCACUGGACACUACUGCCAUGAGCACAGCUCCAGCUCACUCCUGUUGGCCAUUUCCCAACUCAGGCCACGGCCGCAUGAGCUGGCGCGUCGAGUUCCUCUCCCGGUGGAACAUGAUCAAGGUCUUGUUCUUCCCCGGGUCAGCACACCUCCAGUCCCAGCAAGGGCACCUGUCCUGCCACCGACCAGUAGCCUCAUUCCGGGGAGGCCCCACACAUAGGGAGGGAGAGACGGAUAGCCCCUCAGUUGCCAACCCUGAUGCGCCAAAGCUGCUCAAGAUGGAAAUCAGGAAAAGAACACAAACGAAGGCCUGGGAAAAAGAAGAACAAGACGACCCAGGCAGCCCUCAGAUGCUCGAAGCACCCAGUAUCACGUCUGGGCUGAAUUUCCGCUGGCGCCCACCCCUCCUGUCCUUGGAGUCGGCUGAUCUGAACGCAAGUGAGGCUCAACCCUCGGCCCUUCCACGGUCUACUUUUCCCUCCUCUGCCACCCGUGAUUCUGGCACCCGCUUGGAGGCCGACAGUGCAGAGUUCUCGGGAAAACCUCUUGAGCCCCACCCAGGAGAGAAACAUAAGACUUUGACCACAAAAGCAUCAGUUCUGCGCCUGGCCCAUCCCCUCCCUUCAACUUCACCUGUGAGUGAGGAAAACCAGAAGGCCCCGGGAGGGACCCUACCUGGCAAUGGCUGUGGGCCCUCUGAGGCCUCUCUGAUGGGACAGCAGGGCCGGCCGCCUUCUCCGAGCUUCGCAUUCAGCCUCUCGGACAGAAAUGGGCAGAGCGGGACGGUCGUGGGGGCCAAGCAAGGCCGUCUACACCUGAGUCCAGGGUCAGCAAUGGCCAGGAACGAGCCUCUGAAAGAGAGUGGAGGUGGGGCGUCACCAGAGCCCUGCCGUGGGGUGGCAACACUGGAGGGCGAGUCAGGGUCCCAGUCUUGGAGCCAGGUCGGAGGAACAGGAGACGCCCUCGGGACCAAACCCCUCCAGGCCCUGCCUGAAAAAGAAGAGGUUUUUCACGUCAGCCCUUUCAGAAAAAUGUUGAGACGCUUCCUGCCCUGCCUGAGGCCCAAGAAGGAGGAAGCACCAGAGGAGCCCCUUGCAAAGGCAAGCCCGCGUCAGCCACCGCCCAGAGCCAGGCACGGGUCACACGCAGCUCGGCGUCGGAUGGCAGGGCUGUUCAGGCGCCAUCGACAGUAUCAUCCUUUGUCUGGGCACUGGGAGAGAGACUGAGGGUUCGCCAAGGACUUCUAGUUUUUCUCCUUACCUCACCCUCUGUGGUGAUGGUGACUUCCAACCCCAAUUUUCCCCAAAUACAUGUUUUUUCUCCUGAGACCUGGUGGCCUCCGUCUUGCCCUGCUAGGGGUAGAAGCAGGGUCAGGCUCCGCCCUCCCUGAGUGUCUGCUGUGGCUUCCAGAAGGGACAGGGCCAUGCGGGGAGGCUGACUGCAGCGUGGCUCACGCGCCCUGACCCCAACUCCCUCAUUGCACGCGAAGUACCCAUCACGCCAUCCUUACAAAAACAAAUGGAAGCUUUAGGAUAUUUCCAGAGGAGCAAAACCUCUAGACCCCAGCCCAGGAUGGGCCCCACCCGUCCUCUCCUGCGUUCUCUGGCCCUUGAGCUUCUGGGGCUGUAGGGAGGGGGUUUGCAGAGGCUCCAGGAAGUGUAGAGACAGAUUCACAGGUCACAGGGCGGGGAGGGGAGUGUGGGGCAGUGCUGGCCCUGAGUCCGGAGAGGGAAAGCUUGCCCUGCACCCCGAGCUCUUGGUGGGAAUAGAUGACGCUGCCCCAGGAGCUUCUUCUGUCCCUGCUGAAGCUGCCAUGGAGAUGGGCCUGCGCAACCCCCUCAGCCCAGCGUCGCCCUCCCUCUGUCCUUGUCACAGUCUGGAACAGCAGCGACGACCACGACUGAGCUCCAGCCUCUGAGGGUGGGCGGUUGGGGAGCACAGAGGCUGCUGCGGGCCUGUCCCCUCUGCCCAGAGGAGCACAGGGCCCUGCUCUCCUGCACCUGCCUUCUCCUCCUGGGGAAUGGAGCCGGGGGGUGAGUGUGUGGCGGCAGGAUCUGAUGAUGGGACACUGUGCACGUAGGGUGGGACCUGGGAGAAGGAGACAAAGUGCCACCAGAGUUUAACCACUUACCUACUGAAGGACAGUUUUUGGUUUUUAUAAUUUUGUCCCCUAUGCGUAAAGCUGCUAUGAACUUCUGGUGAAGGUUUUUGUGUGAACCUAAAUUUUUCUGCACAGUAAAUAUCAAUGGCAAUGAGUAACGAAGGUUUGAAAAUGGGCCCGCCUCCAGGAACUUAGAAAGAAUGCAACACGCAUUAGAGGUUGAAAGGCUGAAACAGGCAGAGAGAGUAACCCUAACACCAUAUCUUAGAUUGAGCCAUUUCCUCAGGAAAAAAAUGCCGUUACCUAACGCACGACAGGUGCCGAGGACGUGGGAGGGACAGGUAUCACCACAUUUAAUAAAACACCAUCAGAACGUAUCUGGACAGGAGACCCCUGACCUUUAACCUGUCACAAGCUCUUUGUUCUUCGUCUCCAGAGAACAUUAAGUAGACAGAGAGCCACACCUAUGGAGCAGGUCCCCUGAAUGAACUGGAUUUCCACUUGAAUUAAGAAGAAACUCAUCGUCGCUGUGGACUCAAAUUAUUUGUGAAUGAACAGACAACUUCAGUUUCUCAUUUGAAUACUAGCGCAGAAUCACUAGAUUAAAUGGUAACGGAAUCCAAUGAAUCCCAACAGAGCAAGAAAGUGUCAGUGUGUUCCUGGCCUUCCUAUCGCUUCUCUACUGAAUAGAAGAGCAAAGGGAACCUUUCUGAAACUCGUCUUAAUAUCGGAGCAGCAGGCAAUUCCUGUACUUCUGUCUUCUGCUAUGACAGAGAUAGAAAUCAUCGUGUAUGUCAGGGAAACAAUCCAAUUUCCCUAAAUUUGGGGUGGGCGGUCUUUAUUUAAUACCAGGGGUUCCCCUCUACUAUUGACACUAUUCCAGUUGGGUCAGGUUUCCUGGAAGAGCUUUCCGAUUGAUUUUCAUUUUAAAACACAUUCGCUCCUCAUCCUCUCUCUGAGCUGGCAGGCAGGCCAAUUCAGGGAACACGCGUGAGGCCUGAGUCAUGUCAGUCCCUGACCUGGGCAGCUGGCUGUGAGGAGGCCCUAACAGACCCAGAACUCUUGUGCGGAAGUGCCUGAAAGCGGGACUCACUGAUCACAGUCAUGGCUCCCAGCCCUUGGUCCCCAUUUGGAGGAAUGGCUCCCCCUCUGGUCUGCAGAUCCCAGGAGGCAGCUGCUGAGACCCUUGCUCUGAGUAGCUGCCGGCCACCCGAGUGGUGUUCCUUUCGUUUCUGCUUUCCUCAGCAGUACCGUGAGGUCCCAGGCUGCGCCACAGAGACUGUCCAACAGCUGGCCUCCCUGGGAAUGCCUGAUUGAGGCCCCAUUUCCUUACACUCUUCCCUAGAAGAUAGUGACUUCUGUACUCACCCAGAGAAUCUUCAGGAAAUCUAUGGUGGGGCGUCUUCAAAAAGAUGCCUAAGGUCUUCACAAGAAAUGGACACGGAGGUCUAGAACAAGUACCGAACAGGGUUAGCUUUAAAGUUGGUGAAAUAUAAGAAAGCUAAAUUAAGAUUGUCAAGAAUAUGAUGCAGUGGGAAAAUAAGUCGUCUAAAAUAUUGAAUUGCACCAACUGUUUCUUCAAGGCUGCGAUGAUCAUUGGAUUUUCUCAUUCAUUCUGUUAACAUGAUCUGUAAUAAUGGUUAAUUCUUUUGAAUGUGAAAACAACCUUGCCUUCAGGAACUCAACUCUCUUUAAUGGCUUUUGUGUCCAUUUGCAUUUCCCCAAGAAUUUUCAUUUCUUUAUCUGAAGCACUGGUGGAUUUCUCUCAUGCUCUUUCAUUGCCUCCACCUUGCUGGAAUAUACCGCACGUUCCAAUGCAGACAUCAGCAUUGUGCUUCCUAGCAGAGAAGGCUGGAACCAAAGAAAUGGGCAAACUCGGAGACUGCAGUGGAGGAUGUGGCAUUGCUGUUAACGAGACCAGGAACCUCACAUUUCAAGAAAAACCACAAUCUCCUUCAUGAACAUAGAUGCACAACUCGUAAACGAGUCAUAAGCAAAAUAUAGCACAGUGAAGAUGAGAUUUAUGAUACUAAAGUGAACACAUGUGUUUUGUUCAGAUCUAGUGACAGCCUGUAUCAUCUACAGUUCAUAAAUGAGGAAAAGUACUAGGAUAUUUCUUCAAAAUGGUACUUUAUUAUAAGGAUGAAGGCUAAAAACUUCUAUUUGGUGGCCUAUUAAUAAGUACAUUAUAGGUUCUUUUUAGUUUUCCCUUAUUUCUUCCUUAGUCCUAUGUUUGCUACGCUAGGCAUAUUUGAGUGCCCAGUAUCUACUCAUUGGCUUACUGGAAGGCCAUCCUUAUCAUAGAAGGACAAUCAGGUCAAAAUUGUGUUGAGCUCUGUGGGGUCAAGAACACAGGACUGAGAGUCAAGAGACUUUGUGAUAGGCCUACCUGUGCCACAAACUAGACAUAUGACCUUAGGCAAGUAAGUCACAUGGCUCAAACCCUACAUAGGCCUUUUCUGGAAGAGGUAUGCCUGGGCCCACAGAAUCUCAAAAUUCCUCCAUUUUGCUUGUAUCUUUCCAAAGUAGUUCCUGCUCUCCAAAACUCUGCGAUCCAGGACAAAAGUAAGACAUAGCUAUAGAUGAUUCUGCUACCAAACGAAUGCUAAAAGAGGUUUACUAGAAGUGGAAUGAUGCAUGUGGACAUAUCGACUUUGCAAGGUUCUCUGAAAUUCUUUUAAAGGAGGCAUUUAUAGAAUUGGAUUUUGAGUCAUGGUUAGGAUGUUAAAGAACUGUUAGAAGGUGCAGAGAAAAGGAAAACCUUGAUCAGAACAGGAAAGUAGGGUUGCAAUGCUUAGCACCUUGAGAAGUGGUGAGCGCACAGACUGUAUCGGUGAGAAGUGAUCCACUGGGAACGUGCUGUAAGAAUGUCUGGACAGAAUGCAGAGCUACAGGUUGACCCACUGCUCACAGUAAUUCCAUGUUCAGACAUGCUAGUGAUGCUCUUUUUUGUGUCAGAUCCUACAGAUAUCUAUUGUUUCUGCCGCAUUUGAACUAUUAAACUAUUCAAGAGUCAAUAUUUUAAAUGGAACCAUGCCUGACACUUCAUAACUGCUAUAUAAGUGUUUGUAAUUACAAAGUAAAUAAAUAACUAACUUCCCAGUAUGCCUGCUCUCUUUGUUCAUGUGCUUCCGUGUGUUUCUUAAUUUGUCCCUACAUUAUUUGAUGAUAGGAGACAAUCAAGUAGCAGACUUGAAUUUCCG